rnacentral:lncRNA from 1 species
AUUCUAUUUGGGAUGGACUAAAAUCUCCGGGUUUUGUACCUUAUUCAGGUCUAAGGCUGUGUUUCCAAUGCGUUAUUGUUGAUCUGUUCAGUGGCCAUGUGCUGAACAUCUUCAUGUCUCAAGCCCCACCAGCAGGAUUUGAGAGAAGGAGCCUACCAGUGACAGAGACCUAGUCAGACACCUGGAGAAGAGUUCCACAUGCAUGGGAAAGUCUGCAUGGACAUUUUGAACAGGACCUUCCCUCCCUGACUGUCAAUUUCAGGAAGUAUGUCAUUGGAUAUGCAAUUCUUUCUCUUGGUCCUUACAUCCAUGACGAUGGCACUAAAAAGUUAAUCAGUCAACAGAUAUAUACCGAAAGGAGGAGCUGGAAGAAGAGGCCUCCAGGAUCUGACCAAUGAGAUAAAGCAUCCAUAAACGGGACAGGCAGUUAGGAAACAGUGCAUGGCAGAAUAUAGUCCAUGGUUCAGGUGGUGGUAAAAUCAGCAAGGACUGCAGAAAUUCAGAGGAAGAGGAAUCAGUGCCCGCUGGAAUAGGAUGAAGCAGCUGCAUAGCAAAGAUGGCUCUCGGAGUGGGCGAGGAGGGUAUUCUUAUGACUAUUUCUUACACAGAGCACUAUCAGCUAUGUUUACUGUGAGCCAGGCAUUGUGCUAAAUGGUCUCCGUCUAUUGCCUUACUUACUCCUCUCAACAAGGGGAGGUAAGAACCAUCUCGUCUUAUCUCCAUUCUGUAGAUGAUGAGACUGAGCACAGAGAAGUUAAAUAACUUGCCCCAAGGUCACCUUGAAUGUGGUCUGUAUGCUCCCAAGCCCAUGCACUCCCCCAUACUAUAUUGGAAAUCCACGUAACAUUUAUUAGUGUGUGCCGGCAGAUAGGUUCCUAACAUUUUACACGCAUUAUCUCAUUUAACCCUUAAGACAACCCUUUCUGGUAGGCAGUCCCAUUAGUCUCAAGUUCUGGGUGAGGAAAUUUGGGAACAGAGAAGUUAACUUGCCGGAGGUCUAGGGUUGCCAGAUAAUAUUCAGGACACCCAGUUAAAUUUGAUAAAUAACAAUAGGUUGGUAUAAAUAUUGCAUGGGACAUAUUUAUAUUAAAAACUAUUCAUUGUUUAUCUGACAUUCAAAUUUAAAUAGGUGUCCUGUU